GACGAACGCUGGCGGCGUGCCUAAUACAUGCAAGUAGAACGCUGAAGGAGGAGCUUGCUUCUCUGGAUGAGUUGCGAACGGGUGAGUAACGCGUAGGUAACCUGCCUGGUAGCGGGGGAUAACUAUUGGAAACGAUAGCUAAUACCGCAUAAUAGUAGAUGUUGCAUGACAUUUGCUUAAAAGGUGCAAUUGCAUCACUACCAGAUGGACCUACGUUGUAUUAGCUAGUUGGUGAGGUAACGGCUCACCAAGGCGACGAUACAUAGCCGACCUGAGAGGGUGAUCGGCCACACUGGGACUGAGACACGGCCCAGACUCCUACGGGAGGCAGCAGUAGGGAAUCUUCGGCAAUGGACGGAAGUCUGACCGAGCAACGCCGCGUGAGUGAAGAAGGUUUUCGGAUCGUAAAGCUCUGUUGUAAGAGAAGAACGAGUGUGAGAGUGGAAAGUUCACACUGUGACGGUAUCUUACCAGAAAGGGACGGCUAACUACGUG
rnacentral:rRNA from 1 species